GAUGAACGCUGGCGGCGUGCCUAAUACAUGCAAGUCGAGCGAACAGAUAAGGAGCUUGCUCCUUUGACGUUAGCGGCGGAUGGGUGAGUAACACGUGGGUAACCUACCUAUAAGACUGGAAUAACUCCGGGAAACCGGGGCUAAUGCCGGAUAACAUUUAGAACCGCAUGGUUCUAAAGUGAAAGAUGGUUUUGCUAUCACUUAUAGAUGGACCCGCGCCGUAUUAGCUAGUUGGUAAGGUAACGGCUUACCAAGGCAACGAUACGUAGCCGACCUGAGAGGGUGAUCGGCCACACUGGAACUGAGACACGGUCCAGACUCCUACGGGAGGCAGCAGUAGGGAAUCUUCCGCAAUGGGCGAAAGCCUGACGGAGCAACGCCGCGUGAGUGAUGAAGGUCUUCGGAUCGUAAAACUCUGUUAUUAGGGAAGAACAAAUGUGUAAGUAACUGUGCACGUCUUGACGGUACCUAAUCAGAAAGCCACGGCUAACUACGUG
rnacentral:rRNA from 1 species